rnacentral:rRNA from 1 species
UUGAACGCUGGCGGCAGGCUUAACACAUGCAAGUCGAGCGGGGAAAGGUAGCUUGCUACUUGACCUAGCGGCGGACGGGUGAGUAAUGCUUAGGAAUCUGCCUAUUAGUGGGGGACAACAUCUCGAAAGGGAUGCUAAUACCGCAUACGUCCUACGGGAGAAAGCAGGGGACCUUCGGGCCUUGCGCUAAUAGAUGAGCCUAAGUCGGAUUAGCUAGUUGGUGGGGUAAAGGCCUACCAAGGCGACGAUCUGUAGCGGGUCUGAGAGGAUGAUCCGCCACACUGGGACUGAGACACGGCCCAGACUCCUACGGGAGGCAGCAGUGGGGAAUAUUGGACAAUGGGGGGAACCCUGAUCCAGCCAUGCCGCGUGUGUGAAGAAGGCCUUUUGGUUGUAAAGCACUUUAAGCGAGGAGGAGGCUACCGAGAUUAAUACUCUUGGAUAGUGGACGUUACUCGCAGAAUAAGCACCGGCUAACUCUGUGCCAGCAGCCGCGGUAAUACAGAGGGUGCAAGCGUUAAUCGGAUUUACUGGGCGUAAAGCGCGCGUAGGUGGCCAAUUAAGUCAAAUGUGAAAUCCCCGAGCUUAACUUGGGAAUUGCAUUCGAUACUGGUUGGCUAGAGUAUGGGAGAGGAUGGUAGAAUUCCAGGUGUAGCGGUGAAAUGCGUAGAGAUCUGGAGGAAUACCGAUGGCGAAGGCAGCCAUCUGGCCUAAUACUGACACUGAGGUGCGAAAGCAUGGGGAGCAAACAGGAUUAGAUACCCUGGUAGUCCAUGCCGUAAACGAUGUCUACUAGCCGUUGGGGCCUUUGAGGCUUUAGUGGCGCAGCUAACGCGAUAAGUAGACCGCCUGGGGAGUACGGUCGCAAGACUAAAACUCAAAUGAAUUGACGGGGGCCCGCACAAGCGGUGGAGCAUGUGGUUUAAUUCGAAGCAACGCGAAGAACCUUACCUGCUCUUGACAUCCCGGUGACGGCAGAGUAAUGUCUGCUUUUCUUCGGAACACCGGUGACAGGUGGUGCAUGGUUGUCGUCAGCUCGUGUCGUGAGAUGUUGGGUUAAGUCCCGCAACGAGCGCAACCCUUUUCCUUAUUUGCCAGCGGGUUAAGCCGGGAACUUUAAGGAUACUGCCAGUGACAAACUGGAGGAAGGCGGGGACGACGUCAAGUCAUCAUGGCCCUUACGACCAGGGCUACACACGUGCUACAAUGGUCGGUACAAAGGGUUGCUACCACGCGAGUGGAUGCUAAUCUCAAAAAGCCGAUCGUAGUCCGGAUUGGAGUCUGCAACUCGACUCCAUGAAGUCGGAAUCGCUAGUAAUCGUAGAUCAGAAUGCUACGGUGAAUACGUUCCCGGGCCUUGUACACACCGCCCGUCACACCAUGAGAGUCGGGAAUACCCGAAGCCUGUGAGCCAACAUAUUUAUAUGAGGCAGCAGUCGAAGGUAGAAUCGAUGAUUGGGGUG